GACGGAGGAUGCAAGUGUUAUCCGGAAUCACUGGGCGUAAAGCGUCUGUAGGUGGUUUAAUAAGUCAACUGUUAAAUCUUGAGGCUCAACCUCAAAAUCGCAGUCGAAACUAUUAGGCUAGAGUAUAGUAGGGGUAAAGGGAAUUUCCAGUGGAGCGGUGAAAUGCGUAGAGAUUGGAAAGAACACCGAUGGCGAAGGCAGCUCGCUGGGACGGUACUGACGCUGAGACGCGAAAGCGUGGGGAGCAAACAGG
rnacentral:rRNA from 1 species